rnacentral:rRNA from 1 species
UACGGAGGAUCCAAGCGUUAUCCGGAAUUACUGGGCGUAAAGGGCUCGUAGGCGGCCAACUAAGUCGGAUGUGAAAUCCCCAGGCUUAACCUGGGAACUGCAUCCGAUACUGGAUGGCUUGAAUCCGGGAGAGGGAUGCAGAAUUCCAGGUGUAGCGGUGAAAUGCGUAGAUAUCUGGAGGAAUACCGGUGGCGAAGGCGGCAUCCUGGACCGGCAUUGACGCUGAUGAGCGAAAGCUAGGGGAGCAAACGGG